rnacentral:rRNA from 1 species
UUGCCUCAGUAACGGCGAGUGAAGCGGCAAGAGCUCAAAUUUGAAAGCUGGCUCCUUCGGAUAUGCAUUGUAAUUUGCAGAGGAUGCUUUGGGUGCGGCCCCCGUCUAAGUGCCCUGGAACGGGCCGUCAGAGAGGGUGAGAAUCCCGUCUUGGGCGGGGUGUCCGUGCCCGUGUAAAGCUCCUUCGACGAGUCGAGUUGUUUGGGAAUGCAGCUCUAAAUGGGUGGUAAAUUUCAUCUAAAGCUAAAUACUGGCCGGAGACCGAUAGCGCACAAGUAGAGUGAUCGAAAGAUGAAAAGCACUUUGAAAAGAGAGUUAAACAGCACGUGAAAUUGUUGAAAGGGAAGCGCUUGCGACCAGACUCGCCCGCGGGGUUCAGCCGGCAUUCGUGCCGGUGUACUUCCCCGUGGGCGGGCCAGCGUCGGUUUGGGCGGCCGGUCAAAGGCCCCUGGAAUGUAGUACCCUCCGGGGUACCUUAUAGCCAGGGGUGCAAUGCGGCCAGCCUGGACCGAGGAACGCGCUUCGGCACGGACGCUGGCAUAAUGGUCGUAAACGACCCGUCUUGAAACACGGACCAAGGAGUCUAACAUCUACGCGAGUGUUCGGGUGUCAAACCCGUGCGCGCAGUGAAAGCGAACGGAGGUGGGAGCCCCCUCGCGGGGCGCACCAUCGACCGAUCCUGAUGUCUUCGGAUGGAUUUGAGUAAGAGCGUAAAUGUGGGGACCCGAAAGAUGGUGAACUAUGCCUGAAUAGGGCGAAGCCAGAGGAAACUCUGGUGGAGGCUCGCAGCGGUUCUGACGUGCAAAUCGAUCGUCAAAUUUGGGUAUAGGGGCGAAAGACUAAUCGAACCAUCUAGUAGCUGGUUCCUGCCGA